CCCACCAUUCUCUCCCCACCAUUCUCUCGCUCUCUCUCCCCUGCCACUCUCUCCCCCACCAUUCUCUCCCCCACCAUUCUCUCUCUCUCUCUCUCCCCUGCCACUCUCGCUCUCCUCUCCCCCACCAUUCUCUAACCCACACAUUCUCUCGCUCUCUCUCUCCCCUGCCACACUCUCUCUCUCCCCCUGCCACUCUCUCCCCCACCAUUCUCUCCCCCACCACUCUCUCUCUCCCCCACCAUUCUCUACCCACCCAUUCUCUCGCUCUCUCCCCCUGCCACUCUCUCUCUUUCUCUCUCUCUCUCCCCUGCCACUCUCUCUCUCUUUCCUGCCACUCUCUUCCCCACCAUUCUCUCUCUCUCUCCCCUGCCACUCUCUCUCUCCCCUGCCACUCUCUCCCCCACCAUUAUCUUGCUCUCUCUCCCCUGCCACUCUCUCUCUCUCUCCCCUGCCACUCUCUCUCUAACUGUGGUAUUACCAUCAUUUCCCACCACCGUAUAAACAUCCACUGCUCCAUGUUUUCAUGUUACUCCUCUGAUUCCCCCAUAACAGUUCAAAUGGUGUCUGAUGGUGUCCCACCGUGAUCAUCAUCAUCUGACGGCAGCCAUUACAGAACACAGGUAGUGUACACACAAACAAAACUGUAGGUGGGUGUUGAAUAUUUGGCUCGAAAUAUGUUGAGAUGAGAGGAGGAUGGAUCGAAACUAAAGGGGGAGAGAGAGGAGGAGAACAAGAGAAAUGUGGAGAGAUUGAGAGGACUCAAGAGAGUUGCAAUAUUCAUUUAAUUCUGGAUAGUUUUCAUCCCUCUCUCCCCGCAUUUCUGUGCAGUGAUACUCCUGUAACAGGCCAACAGAAGGGGCUCAGGGAUGAUGCCUGCGCCCCAAAUUGCACCCUAUUCCCUACACAGUGCACUAAGUAGAGCACUAUAUAGGGAAUAGGGUGACCUUUGAGACGUGACCCACUUUCUCCCCUCUCAUCUCCUCUCUCUCUCCCCAUCUCCCCUCUCAUCUCCUCUCUCUCUCCCCUCUCAUCUCCUCUCUCUCUCCCCAUCUUCCCUCUCAUCUCUCUCACCCCAUCUCCCCUCUCAUCUCCUCUCUCUCUCCCCAUCCCCUCUCUCAUCUCCUCUCUCUCUCCCCAUCCCCUCUCUCAUCUCCUCUCUCAUCUCCUCUCUCUCUCCCCAUCCUCUCUCUCAUCUCCCCUCUCAUCUCCUCUCUCCCCAUCCCCUCUCUCAUCUCCUCUCUCCCCCAUCCCCUCUCUCAUCUCCCCUCUCCCCAUCCCUCCUCUCAUCUCCUCUCUCCCCAUCCCCUCUCUCAUCUCCCCUCUCAUCUCCUCUCUCAUCUCCUCUCUCUCUCCCCAUCCUCUCUCUCAUCUCCCCUCUCAUCUCCUCUCUCCCCAUCCCCUCUCUCAUCUCCCCUCUCAUCUCCUCUCUCCCCAUCCCCUCUCUCAUCUCCCCUCUCAUCUCCUCUCUCUCUCCCCAUCCCCUCUCUCAUCUCCUCUCUCUCUCCCCAUCCCCUCUCUCAUCUCCCCUCUCAUCUCCUCUCCCCCCAUCCCCUCUCUCAUCUCCCCUCUCAUCUCCUCUCUCUCUCCCCAUCCCCUCUCUCAUCUCCUCUCUCUCUCCCCAUCCCCUCUCUCAUCUCCCCUCUCAUCUCCUCUCCCCCCAUCCCCCCUCUCAUCUCCUCUCUCUCCUCUCUCUCUCAUCUCCUCUCUCUCCCCUCUCUCUCCUCUCUCUCCCCUCUCUCUCAUCUCCUCUCGCCUCUCUCUCUCUCCCCUCUCUCCUCUCAUCUCCUCUCGCAUCUCUUCUCUCCUCUCUCUCUCCUCCUCUCUCUGCCCUCUCAGCUCCUCUCUCCUCUCUCUCAUCUCCUCUCUCUCCCCAUCCCCUCUCUCAUCUCCUCUCUCAUCUCCUCUCUCUCUCAUCUCCUCUCUCUCUCCCCUCUCUCUCCUCUCUCUCUGCCCUCUCUCCCGUUUCUCUCCCCUCUCUCUCAUUUUCUCUCUCUCUCCUCUCUCUCCCCUCUCUCUCUCUCCUCUCCUCUCUCUCCCCUCUCUCUCCCUCUCAUCUCCUCUCUCAUCUCCUCUCUCUCUCUCCUCUCUCUCUCAUCUCCUCUCAUCUCCUCUCUCUCUCCUCUCUCAUCUCCUCUCUACCCAUCCCCUCUCUCAUCUCCCCUCUCAUCUCCUCUCUCUCUCCUCUCUCAUCUCCUCUCUCCCCCAUCCCCUCUCAUCUCCCCUCUCAUCUCCCCUCUCUCUCCUCUAUCUCCCCCCUCUCUCAUCUCCUCUCUCAUCUCCUCUCGCCUCUCUCUCUCCUCUCUCUCCCCUCUCUCCUCUCAUCUCCUCUCGCAUCUCCUCUCUCCUCUCUCUCUCCUCUCUCUCUCCUCUCUCAUCUCCUCUCUAUCUCCUCUCUCUCAUCGCUCCUCUCAUCUCCUCUCUCUCUCCUCUCUCAUCUCCUCUCUACCCAUCCCCUCUCUCAUCUCCCCUCUCAUCUCCUCUCUCUCUCCUCUCUCAUCUCCUCUCUCCCCAUCCCCUCUCAUCUCCCCUCUCAUCUCCUCUCUCUCUCCCCAUCCCUUCUCUCAUCUCCUCUCUCUCCCCAUCCCCUCUCUCAUCUCCCCUCUCAUCUCCUCUCUCUCAUCUCCUCUCUACCAUCCCCUCUCUCAUCUCCCCUCUCAUCUCCUCUCUCUCUCCUCUCUCUCUCCCCAUCCCCUCUCUCAUCUCCCCUCUCAUCUCCUCUCUCAUCUCCUCUCUCUCUCUCGCCAUCCUCUCUCUCAUCUCCCCUCUCAUCUCCUCUCUCCCCAUCUCCCCUCUCAUCUCCUCUCUCCCCAUCCCCUCUCUCAUCUCCCCUCUCAUCUCAUCUCUCUCUCCCCAUCCCCUCUCUCAUCUCCUCUCUCAUCUCCCCUCUCAUCUCCUCUCUCAUCUCCUCUCUCUCUCCCCAUCCUCUCUCUCAUCUCCCCUCUCAUCUCCUCUCUCCCCAUCCCCUCUCUCAUCUCCCCUCUCAUCUCCUCUCUCCCCAUCCCCUCUCUCAUCUCCCCUCUCAUCUCCUCUCUCUCUCCCCAUCCCCUCUCUCAUCUCCUCUCUCUCUCCCCAUCCCCUCUCUCAUCUCCCCUCUCAUCUC
rnacentral:lncRNA from 1 species